GUGAUCUGCCCACCUCGGCCUCCCAAAGUGCUGGGAUUACAGGCAUAAGCCACCGUACCCGGCCCAGACUGUCUCAAAAUAAAUAAGUAAAAAGCAGUUUAACCUGUUAGCAAAUUCUAGACAAAAGAAAAUGUUAAGUUUAUUUCACGACCCAAGCUGCCACUGCAGGAGCUGCCUCAAGCAGCCACGGGCUGCGCUGUGACGCUCUGCAGGUGGAAAGUCCUAAAGGUCCUUCCACAAGUCAAGGUGGUUUGCAGGCAUUUACAUCAAGGUUUCGCCUCUCUGUGCUCCAUGGUACACAACUCCAGGACUCAGGCCACAUUCCCAAAAGCAGCUUUUGAGAAAAGCCAGGCCCUGCAGCCCACCCGACAGAUGGAAGAACCUCCCCUUUGAACAGGGUCAAGAUGAAGCCUCAACCCCAGCUCUGUUGGCCCGAUUCACACAGGGCUCCUUCAAUCAAUAACCUGGAGUCCAAGUCAUUCAAGGUACUGUCUGUGGCACUGAUCCGAGCCUGCUGUGUCACUCUGCCAAAACCUUGGCUGAGACAAUAAACAUUUAUGAAGGUGAGCCUAGGCACACCCCUAACUAACUCUCAGCCGCCAGACUCUUCGACUCUCCAUUCUGACUCUCAGCGAAGUCUGGUCCCCAGAAAGUUACAUACUUGGACUGUAUCAUAAUGCCUUUGAAGAACCAAAGAUUUCAAAAUCGUUCAGCUCUGAUGUUUCUGGAUUUUUCAUUAUUUUUGAGCCAUAUGCUAGCAGAUGGUCACAGCAUAAGGACCGUGUCAUAGGAGUAACUUCUUUCAGACCUCAACACCAUCCAACUUUACCCUGCCAGGCCGUGUUAGGAAGUCUGAGAUGGGACGCUUCCAAUGGACCCGGCCACCGCUUGCCUUCCUUCUCCUGCCUGCCGCCCCCUCCCAUCGAGGGGUCCUCUGCUUGUGGACACAGCCUAAUCUCACUGCUUCCGGGCACUGGCAUCCCUGUUUCUGGGCACGGGCAGUUACUUCUCCAACUUUAAGGCACUCACUGGUACUUCUUUUAAAUACUUUUCUUCUUGGGAAAAACUCCUUAACGGAGAAGAGGAUACACAACCCACGGAUAGGACAGACCACCCCAGAAGAGCCUGCCGGGGGCUGUUCCCCACUGGCCACUCAGCACGGGGUCAGUAGCAGAAGUUCCUGCAGACCAUGCAGAUGGCAUGGAGCCUGCAAUCUGCUUCGCACACAGUGUAACACUGCUACGCUUCUGCCAAGUGUCCGGGGCUGGUGCACGCUGUCUAUUCCUAGCAGAGUGACAGUUUUCUUGGUUAUAAUCAAAGCUCUUCCCGACUCCCAUUGGGACCUCUCCGUCUCUUGCCACUGCUUUGACAAUGGUUCUAGUAAUGCUCCUGUGCUCAAAAAAGGAAUUCUGCUCAGUCUGCCGUCUCUCAGGCCUCCCUGGUUCUUUGCUCUAGGUAUGGCCUCUUCCUAUAGCUGACUCACUUGGGCUCAGAGUACAGCCCCUUCACACCAAGGCCAAGCAGGGGAGAGAACCACUUGCUGAAGGCUGAAGCCCAAUCUUUCUUCAGGAUAACUGCUGGAGCUACUGGUAACUCCAGCCCACAAGAUAGUUCAAAUCUCUAGCCUGCCACUCCUUUUCUAUCUCCUGGGGAGGCGGGCCCAAGGAGCCCCCAUGAGCGCACUCAGGCAGAAGGGCCUGAGGCACAUGGCCUGGCCCAAGUCUCAUGGGGCCUUUACAGAGACUGCAGAAAUGCUGACCGACAAAGCACGUAUCCACUGACAGCCUCACUCCACACUGAGGAAACAAACUCCUGUCCAAUGGAUUUCAUCUGGAGUGGAGCAUGCUGGUGGCACGCGGGAACAGGAGCGGCAAUGGUUGGGUAGCCAUGACAUCCCGAGGCGCACUGGAAACCACCUCCUUCCCGAGCAGCAGGGUCCUCAGUUACAGCUUCGCUGCGCCUUCAAAGCCUGCUUCUCCAGGGCACCUCACUCCGCUCACUGGUCCUCAUUCAAUAUUCCCAUGUGUUUGUUUGUGAGGAAAUCCAGAAAAGGAAUGUUGCAAAUGGCCUGGUGAAUAUUACUCACUGUAAUUUCUUUGGGAAUCCUGGUCCAAAAAACAAAGGGUGUUACCAGGUGAAAUUCUCUCACACGUAUCUCAUCAUUCAUUCACUAACUCACCACAGGGACCAUCCCAGGCAGAGGCCCCCUGGAGAGGGCUCCUGAGCCACAGACAUAGCUUAGGGCCACUCUGGGGUGGGGACUGCCUUCCUAGUCAUAGGCAUGAGAAGGAUGUCAACAAGUUGGUUGAAUGAUUAGGAAAAAAGAUUCUGAGAACUGAGAAAAGAGAAAGAAAACAAAGUGGAUGGCAGAACGGAAUGACACAUUUGUGAGUGAGUCUCAGCAGACCAAAAGCUGAGUCAAAGCACCACAAAACUCUGGGACUGCAUUUCCCAUCUCCUGGAAAGAUCGGAGAUGGAGUCACGCCAGGCCAGGCGUGAUGUUAAUCGUUCCAUCAAAAGCACCCAAGUCACUCUACCCCUCCAGAACAGGGAGCACAGAGGUGAGCAGGAGCCACAGGAGGCCCCUGGCUCACUUGUGGGUCCAAGCAGGACAGCGGGCAGCAGGACCGGAACUCUUGGUUCACCUCCUUUUCUCUAAAGACGUCUAUGUUGUCUGAUAUAUUCCUGUGAAGCUUCAUCUAAUAUUCCUCUGAUUUAGGCCCUUCAUGUCCUCAGGCACUUUGCUACAAUUUUAUAAAUUUGUGACAGCCUUUAGCAUAACGCAAUAAAAUAAUAUUCGUUUCCUCUGAAAGAAAAGCAGAUGUGGCCUAUCUACCAUUCUUUCAGGGCCUAGGAAAAGACUGAAACUCAGUGUCUCAAUCGAACACAAUGAGAGUCAGCAAAGAGCAGUGGCAAGCCCGGGAGCCUCAGAGCCAGUGAGACCUGAGUCGGAAGUCCAGGUCGCCACUGUAUUUUCUGGGAAAGCUGGGUAAGAUCACCUUUCAAAGCCCGGUUUCCUGAUUUUUAAAAAGGGAAUAAUAGUUCUGCAAUGAAAAACAAGUAAGGUAAUACAUGCAGUGCUUGGCCCUCAUGUCUGACAUGUAACGGACACUGUUACCUUUAAUUGCAAAGCUAAUAUUUAUUCAACCCUGUAAUAAAACAGAGUCCUAGGUGUCUGUGAA